AAUCAACGCUGGCGGCGUGCCUAACACAUGCAAGUCGAACGCGAAAAGGGCUUCGGCUCUGAGUAGAGUGGCGUCCGGGUGAGUAACGCGUGGGUAAUCUGCCCUCGGGUGGGGAAUAACUAGUCGAAAGAUUAGCUAAUACCGCAUAAUGCAGCGGCUCGACAUCGAGACAGUUGUUAAAGCAGAAAUGCGCCUGAGGAGGAGCCUGCGUCUGAUUAGCUAGUUGGUGAGGUAAUGGCUCACCAAGGCUGCGAUCAGUAGCUGGUCUGAGAGGACGGCCAGCCACAAUGGCACUGAAACACGGGCCAUACUCCUACGGGAGGCAGCAGUGGGGAAUUUUGGACAAUGGGGGCAACCCUGAUCCAGCCAUUCCGCGUGAGUGAAGAAGGCC
rnacentral:rRNA from 1 species